rnacentral:rRNA from 1 species
UGAGGAACAUGACCUUCGGCGGGGGAUAGCCGGCCCAACGGCCGGGUAAUACCGCGUACGACCUUUUGGGGACAUCCCUGAAUGGUGAAAGCAGCAAUGCGCCGAUGGAGUGCCUCGCGGCCUAUCAGCUAGUUGGUGAGGUAACGGCUCACCAAGGCAACGGACGGGUAGCCGACCUGGAGGGGGUNAUCGGCCACAUUGGAACUGAGACACGGUCCAGACUCCGUACGGGGAGGCAG